rnacentral:lncRNA from 1 species
UCAAAAACAGCAAAGAACUUCCCCAACCUGACAGAGAACAUCUAUGUAAGUCAAUGGCUAACAUCAAACUCUAUGGUGGAAGACUAUUUAAAAUAAUUAUGCUGAGUAAGAGAAGCCAGGCAAAUAAAAUCGUGCAUACUAUAUGAUUCCAUUUAUAUACAAUUCUAGAAAAUGCAAACAAAUGUAUUAUAACAGAAAACACUGGCAUUACCUGGG